rnacentral:rRNA from 1 species
UUAAGCAUAUUACUAAGCGGAGGAAAAGAAACCAACGGGGAUUCCCAUAGUAACUGCGAGUGAAAUGGGAAAAGCCCAGCGCUGAAUCCGAGGGUCGGCAACGGCCUUUGGAGCUGUAGCGUGAAGGUGGUUCUAAUUCAUGCGGCUGGCUGGCGUAAGUUCUCCUGAGUGAGGCUCCAUGCCAUGGAGGGUGCAAGCCCCGUAUCGCUGGCAGCCUGCGUGAAUAUAAGACUACCAGAGAGUCGCCUUGUUUGCGAGUACAAGGUGAAGUCGGUGGUAAACGCCAUCGAAGGCUAAAUAUGACCACGAGUCCGAUAGCGAACAAGUACAGUGAUGGAAAAUUGAAAAGAACUUUGAAGAGAGAGUGAAACAGUGCGUGAAACCGCUCAGAGGCAAGCAGAUGGGGCCUCGAAGGCAGAGCAGCGAAUUCAGAUGGUAGUCCGUGAGCGCGGCGAGUGUGACAUGUCAAAAGUCUACUUGCCGUUAGCGCAGCGGCUGCUAUUGCACUUUCGCUGUUCGUACGCCUCCGCCGUUGACGUUUGUGGCAUCCGCCGAGCUCGCAGCGUGGAGCCUAAUUCUCUCGGGAAUUGGUGUCUCAUCGCAGGCAAGGCGCGUUUGUCCGUCAACCGGUCAUGUGUUGGUGUUGGGUCCAGUGCUCUGUUGCGUCGUAGUGGAUGACGGACGCAAGUCCGGCUCUGCUUGGCGUGAUGGAAUCGCGAAGAUUUUCAACCUGGCAUACGGAGGCGAGUAGACGGCUGCCCAUCUAACCCGUCUUGAAACACGG